CCUGUUAUUAUUGCACCUGUAAGAAACCAGUUUAAAGGACAUUCGGAAUUCGGAGAUAAGUCAUUUUGUUUUAAUGUCAAUCAGUAUUUUAUAUCUGAUUAAUGAUGUGUUAUGUAUUAGCUGUAUCUAAUUUGAGAAUAAAUAAUACAUCUAAAUUCACGUUAUUAGACUGAGCAACUGCUCCGGUAUCAUACGAUAUGCAAGUAUUUGACAACUAAUUUACAGUCAGUCAAAUUCUCGAAGUAAUGCUGUUCUAAUUGGAUGUUUCAUAUUUUAAUGGCUAUGCAGGAUUCACAUUUGUGCAUGGACGACGGAGGGAAUUCCUAUAGUGCCCCGAUGUUCCACCAGUAGGGGACUAAAAACAAGAACAUCAUUCCACUAAAAAAGUCAUGUUUCAAGAGUCUCCGCAAAUCAAAUACCUACAAUAUUAGAUCUAAUGCAUAUUUGCUUCGAAGACGUAAGAAACUGAUGAAAAUGCCAAGUUGACAACACAAGGAAUGGCGACGAAGGACGAUGAUAUUACACGGAGUCAUGAGCUGUAUAUAAGACAUAUCUCGCUGUUGGGAAAAGCUGUACCCUUAGCUUUAAAGACUGUGAUUACAAAGAUAGAAGGAAAACACGGAAAGACUCUUGAUUCUAUUCUAACAGAAAAGAAAGAUACCAUCAAAACAUUUAACUACGACUUGUUUAAAGCAUUGUUUAAAGAAGAUGAAGAAAGUGUUAAUACGGAGAUAGAAUCAUGGGGAUUAUCUACUCUCUGUGGUGUGAUUUUCGUUUUAUCAGAAAGUUCUGAACUUGACUGCGUCAGUUGUAUUUCUGGCCAACUAAGAGAUGUUGAAAAGUACACUCAUUCUGCCUCACUGGAAUACAAUACAUAUAGGCAGAAAUGGGAGUCGCUUUGCGAAUCCUUGCUUAAGCUUGUCAAAGGAAGUAAAGCCGAAUAUGAAUGCAAA